UAAUCUCAUUGUAGUCAUUACCA
rnacentral:snRNA from 1 species